rnacentral:lncRNA from 1 species
GGGGGCAUUGAUCACUUGGAGUUAGGGGACUAAAAACCACAUGGUGAUGCAACCUGCCCGUAGCAAUAAUCAAUCGUUCGUGCUUUUCGUUGACUGAGUUUCUAACAUUCUUGUCGGCGUAUUAAUGGCCUAAUAAUAUGCAUUAUCCAGUGUUAGCAGCAGGGACCCUAAUGUCGCUAAUUAAUGCUUCUGACACUACGACGGAGGUGGUGGCUAUGCUGUUGUUUAGGAUAGGCUAGAAUUUAGAACUGGUUAUCUAUGUGGUUAUGAUAUAUUGUACCCUGGACUGAUGCUCCAUGGACUGAUUGUAGCCAAAGAUAAUUUUGUGACCAGGUACUGAUGCGCUCUCUCUCUCUUUCUCUCUCUUUUCAAAUUAAAGAUGUUUCCUCACAAAAAAUAAGAAAAAUAAAAAAGAGGUUGAAGCC